AAGACUAUAGACCUGCGGAGUACCUGCGGAGGGAUCAUUAAAGAGUUUAACUACUCAAACCAUUGUGAACCUUACCUCAACCGUUGCUUCGGCGGGCGGGCCCGGGCCAAGCCCGGCGCCCCCCCGGCCCCUCGCGGGCGCCCGCCGGAGGUUAACCGAACCCUUGAAUUGUAUGGCCUCUCUGAGUCUUCUGUACUGAAUAAGUCAAAACUUUUAACAACGGAUCUCUAGAUCGGAAGA
rnacentral:misc_RNA from 1 species